rnacentral:rRNA from 1 species
GAUUAACAUGCAGUCGAGCGGUAACAGACAUAAAGAUUUAGCUUGCUAAAUCCGGUGCUGACGAGCGGCGAACGGGUGAGUAACACGUAGGAAUCUACCCAGUAGCGGGGGAUAGCCCGGGGAAACCCGGAUUAAUACCGCAUACGCCCUACGGGGGAAAGCGGGGGACCUUUCGAGGCCUCGCACUAUUGGAGGAGCCUGCGUUGGAUUAGCUAGUUGGCGGGGUAAAAGCCCACCAAGGCGACGAUCCAUAGCUGGUCUGAGAGGACGACCAGCCACACUGGGACUGAGACACGGCCCAGACUCCUACGGGAGGCAGCAGUGGGGAAUAUUGUGCAAUGGGGGAAACCCUGACACAGCCAUGCCGCGUGUGUGAAGAAGGCCCUAGGGUUGUAAAGCACUUUCAGUAGCAAGGAACAAGCGAGGUUAAUAGCCUCGUCUAAUGACGUUAGCUACAGAAGAAGUACCGGCUAACUCCGUGCCAGCAGCCGCGGUAAUACGGAGGGUACGAACGUUAAUCGGAAUUACUGGGCGUAAAGCGCGCGUAGGCGGUUUGAUAAGCUGGAUGUGAAAGCCCCGGGCUCAACCUGGGAACUGCAUCCAGAACUGUCUGACUAGAAUACAAUAGAGGUGAGUGGAAUUUCCUGUGUAGCGGUGAAAUGCGUAGAUAUAGGAAGGAACAUCAGUGGCGAAGGCGACUCACUGGAUUGAUAUUGACGCUAAGGUGCGAAAGCGUGGGGAGCGAACAGGAUUAGAUACCCUGGUAGUCCACGCCGUAAACGAUGUCUACUAGCCGUUGGGAUCCUUGAGGUCUUAGUGGCGCAGCUAACGCAAUAAGUAGACCGCCUGGGGAGUACGGCCGCAAGGUUAAAACUCAAAUGAAUUGACGGGGGCCCGCACAAGCGGUGGAGCAUGUGGUUUAAUUCGAUGCAACGCGAAGAACCUUACCAGGUCUUGACAUCCCGAGAAGUCGCUAGAGAUAGCUUCGUGCCUUCGG